rnacentral:tRNA from 1 species
GAGUACACCCAGCAUGGUGGUUAUGACACUCGGCUUGUAAUCGAGUGGGCUUGGGUUCGAAUCCCGAACA